CCCUAUUAUUUUUAUUGUAAAUUUGUAAGUCAGAGUAUUAAUAGUUAUGAUCUUUAAACUUAAAGAAUUUGGCGGUAUUAUAGUCUAUUUAGAGGAAUCUGUUAUGUAAUCGAUACUCCGCGUUGAACCUUACUUAUAUUAUUUUUUGUAUACCGCUGUUUAAGAAUAUACUUUUAGGUUAUUUUCUUAAUAUAAAAUUAAUUAAUAUUUCAAGUCAAGGUGCAGUAAUAUAUAAGUUGAAUAAUGGAUUACAAUAAAUUUUAUUUAAAUGGAUAAUUAUUGAAAGAUAAUUUGAAGGUGGAUUUAAUUGUAAUUUUAUAAAGAAUAAAUAAGUUUURAACUCUAAUAA
rnacentral:rRNA from 1 species